GCCGACGUAGCUCAGUGGUAGAGCAGCUGAUUCGUAAUCAGCAGGCCGUAGGUUCAAAUCCCAUCGUCGGCUCCA
rnacentral:tRNA from 1 species